rnacentral:lncRNA from 1 species
AAAGAAUUAAAGUCCGCAACAGUUUCGCAAUAAAAUUAUAGACCUCAUGAAAUAAAUAUAGGAAUCAAGAAAUCAGAAAGCAUUACAAUAGCAAGUCUGACUGAAAAUUCUAUAAAACAAUACCAUAUUCUACAUAUUUGGCCUCUUUCCCAUUUUUAAUUUACAUACAAUAAGCGGGGAGAUGGUAACCAAGUGAACUUGGUUAGAUAUCGUGUUCAAACCACAGCCACGAAAGAAUAUCCACAGCUUUCCUUACCGGACGACACCAGCAUAAUAUGAAAAAUUGCUGGUUUCCAGUUUAAUCCAAUAACGCAGUUUUGACUUAGAAUAGUUCAGUCCCUCUGGUUUGGGAAUCUUGCAACGAGUCUGAGACGGGCUUGGAUUCAAAGAACUUAGCAACAGCCUGAUAGAGAUUCUCUUCUUCGAAUGGUUUGGACACAUACCCAUCCAUCCCACAUUUAAGACAUUUGUCUAAGGUUGCAUGGAUAACAUCGGCUGUCAUCGCCAAUAUUGGCAUAUGCCACACACCAUUUCUCGCAAUUCCUUCAAUGGUGCAUCCUCCAUUUACUGUCU